CUCGUAGGUGGUUUGUCGCGUCGUUUGUGUAAGCCUGCAGCUUAACUGCGGGACUGCAGGCGAUACGGGCAUAACUUGAGUGCUGUAGGGGAGACUGGAAUUCCUGGUGUAGCGGUGGAAUGCGCAGAUAUCAGGAGGAACACCGAUGGCGAAGGCAGGUCUCUGGGCAGUAACUGACGCUGAGGAGCGAAAGCAUGGGUAGCGAACA
rnacentral:rRNA from 1 species